GGGCGCAUAGCUCAACGGUAGAGCACUUGCUUUACACGCAAGGGGUUCUAGGUUCGAAUCCUAGUGCGCCCA
rnacentral:tRNA from 1 species